rnacentral:misc_RNA from 1 species
GAUGAAGAACGCAGCGAAAUGCGAUAAGUAAUGUGAAUUGCAGAAUUCAGUGAAUCAUCGAAUCUUUGAACGCACAUUGCGCCCGCCAGUAUUCUGGCGGGCAUGCCUGUUCGAGCGUCAUUUCAACCAUCAAGCCCCCGGGCUUGUGUUGGGGACCUGCGGCUGCCGCAGGCCCUGAAAAGCAGUGGCGGGCUCGCUGUCACACCGAGCGUAGUAGCAUACAUCUCGCUCUGGGCGUGCUGUGGGUUCCGGCCGUAAAACCACCUUUUAACCCAAGGUUGACCUCGGAUCAGGUAGGAAGACCCGCUGAACUUAAGCAUAUCAAUAAGCGGAGGA